rnacentral:lncRNA from 1 species
CCGCCUCCCGGGGGCGCGCAGGCUCCGGCCCAGCGGCUGCGGCCGCCCCCGCUGUGGGGGGUCUCGGCGGCGGGGCCCACCCCGCACCCGCGGGCCGAGGGGGCGGCGGUGGAGGCGUAGGCCGGGGCUUGGCCGCUGUGCAAGGCCCCUGUGCGUGUCUCCCCGUCCGGCGGGCGGGCUGUUCCGGUGAAGUUGGGAGACACCUCUUGUAAAAAUCCAGAGCUCUCCCCUCUCUUGCAGUAGCAGUAAUGUACGUGCCUCUCCCCGUGAGGUGGCGUGGAACAGCGAUGCUGAAGGAAACACUGACCUUUUUGGUUCGAUUUACCGGAGAGGGGCUUGGACAAUGCAGUGGUCAACUUGCUGAUUGCCAGUCUGCUUUGCUGCUCCAACCUGUGCACUGUUCGGUGAGGUCAGGUGUAGGAACAGGAAUCAGAAGGAUGACAUUCCAAGAACAGGAGUAAUACAUAGAUGGAUGGAAUCAAAUUUCUUUCCCCAUAAUUUUUAAUGUUUGGGUGACGCUGAGAGACAUUUGAUUGGGCAGAGGCAGUCUGGAGUCACUCUUCCCAGAGUCGUGCAGCAGAACCACAACAGGUAACAGUCACAAGUUGCAGCAGGAAAAUUUGUCUAACUAUAAAGAAAUUACUUCUCCCAUGAAGACAGUUAAGCACUGGAAUCAGUUUCACAAGUUGUGGAAUGUCCAGCCUUGGAAGUAGUCAAAGCUUGACUGCACAAGAUAAAUUAAUCCCUUAAGAUCUAAAUUAUUCUGUGAUUCUGUUAAUUCAAAACUGUUUACAACACGGUGCCCGAUGUGUUGAUGUAGGAAGUGGUCUGCCUCUUUCUCAAAUGAAGUGCUCAGUUCUUCUCCUUCCACUGAGAUCAUUCCUCAUCCCUAUAACCAUUAGAUCCCAAAUGCCUAGAUGGCCAACUGCACUUGACGCCCAUGGAGGUUGCCCAGCCCCUGUUAAAACUGUCAUCCAGCUUCCCCAGGUCAGUAAGACUCCCAGUACUCAUUAUUCGAGUGCAAUUGCCUUUGUAUUACCUUAACGAACUAAGGACAAGCUCUGAAAGUACUACAGAAAUUGUAGAUGCUGCUGCUGGUCUGCAUUUUUAUAAGUAAAAUUGAAAAGUGAAAUAGAAAUAUUACUGUAGAGUGGCAAAAGACACAUGUAAAAAAGCAUGCCUAGGAAGAGUCAAGAUUAAUUUCUCAUAUUAUGCCUAUAAAUUCUUUAUUCCUACUGUUCUGCUAGCAGACCUCAGGAAAAAAAAGACAAUAUUAUUCCUAAUGGUAAACCAGAGAAAAAUAUAGCAGUAAAUUAAGUAACGCUUUGUGU